GUGCUCGCUUUAGCAGCACAUAUACUAAAACUGGAACAAUACAGAGAUUAUCAUGGCUCCUGUGCAAGGAUGACACACAAAUUCAUGAAGCGUCCCAUAUUUUU